AAUCUGUCAUGGAUAACCUAGUGGAAGAGUCACCGCUAAGACGGCAACCCUGCUUCGGCGCAAGCCAGCGGGUACAGGUGCCUGGUUCGAAUCCUGGGUGCGACACUUCACUCGUGCGAGUAAUCCACGAUGUUGGAGGUCGUUAAGCCAUGGAGACUACAGUUCAGGAUAGUAAUAUCGCAGACAAGUCUCCAGCCUGGGAUGGCGAUGCCAGAAUACACCGUCCCGUACAGGGAAGCUGGCUGUUGGUGAUGCAACUGCAUCUU
rnacentral:SRP_RNA from 1 species